GAGCUUUUGGUCCGGGUUAUACCUGAUGCAUGUGUAUAAGACGAGCAAAAAGCUCGU
rnacentral:pre_miRNA from 1 species